UGAGCUGGUGACAGUACAGUGUAGUACAGUGAAGUUAUUGACUGUUUUUAUAGUAUCCGCUUUUCAGGUUUUGCACUUUGCAGACGGUCCCUUGGAAUCUGUCUCAGGUGAAUGUAUAUAAAUAUACAGGAAAAAUCGAUUUAAAUCGUAAAUCGAUUUUUUUUUUUUUUUUUUUUCGUGUGUGAAAAAAUCAGGGAUUUUUAUUUUAGGCAAUAUCACCCAGCCCUAAGUAGUAUACUGAUACUAUGUACUGCAUUAUUAUAUUAGUAUACUGAUGUCUCUGUGUAAAUUGUUGUAACAAACAGAUUUGCUGUUUUUAUAGACUACAUUUUUGUGUAGUUAUGAUUUGUAUAGAACUUCUGGCUUACAUUAUAUGACCAAAAUCAUACAAAGCGUAAACUCUUCUAUCAUGAAGAUGUCAGGAACCUUAAAUUUAUACGUAAAAAUGUAGUUAAAAUGAAAAUGUUGAAAAAGUGAACAGCCUUAUUGCAGACCUUCAUGCACAUAUAGUAUAACACACAAUAUCUAAAUUCUUAAAAAGAAUAGAUAUGAUAUUUAGUUCUGGUAAAAGUUUAAAAUCAUUUCAUGUUUUUGACAUUUUCACCUGGUUCUGCUGGAUCCCAGUCCUGUUUGUACAAAUGCUAAACAGCUUUCUGCAUUUUACCAGUGGCUCUAACACAAUCUGUGUAGUACACCAAGAGGAUGGACAUAACAUAAAAAAUGUCCAAUACAAUUGCAAUAGAUACAAAUAGUUAUGUGUCAUGUAUAUGUAAUGCACUUUAGUAUGUCGCUCUGAAUAAGGACGUCUAUGUAAAUGUUGUAAAUGUUAAUAUGUGAGUCAACGAGCGUUGAUCAAAGCUUUUUUCAAAUAAAAACAAAUUGAAUAAUAAAAGCAUUUUCUGGACAAUUAUUAAGGGAUAAUGUGCACAAGCAUGUGACCAGGAUUUUAUUAAACACCACCUGGAAUUAAAUGUAUAGUAUAAAAUAACAUGUUUAUGCUUCUUCUGUGAAAGAAACUAUAUUCAAAAACUACAAUACUAUAUCCUGACUUUAUACACUGUCUGGCCAAAAGUAUGUGGACACCUGACCAUCAUCAUGUAACCCUAAGUUUGGAAACACUUCUAGAGAACGUCUCUGUGUGUAGAAUUAAUGUCACUCGACCAGAACUCAGAGAUACAAACCCUGCUCCAUCAUGAUGUUGUAAACUUUUCCCAGAGAAGACCAGGAGACUUGGAUAUCCUUGUGCAGUAGUCUUUAUUGUAGAUACACGAUGAAACGAGUCCGCAAGUCAGCGCGUACCGGCACGGGUGCUGCAGUCAUCAAGUCUGACUUAAAGUUGUAAUACAUUGUAAAUAUACACAUUUUAGGGAGCAGUCCCAUCAGAUAGAGACAAAACACUCGGUUGAUAAUCAAAGCAUGAAGGGAUGUAACAGCCCCACACCGGAUCCUGGAAUUUCACCCACACUUAAUCCCAUUCACAGACCAUAAGACUCUCCCUCCCUCUCUCUCUCUCUCCCUCCCUCGCUCGCUUGCUCUCUCUCUCUCUCUCGCUCCCUCCCUCUCCCUCUCUCGCUCGCUUUCUCUCGCUCUCGGUCCAAAACUUUAUUUUUUUGUUCGUUUUUCCAAAACUUUUUGUAUUUUCUUCUUACACCAUUAGGAAGUCCAUUUUUGCCCUUGCUUCAUAGCAUUAACCCUCAUACUGGACUGGAUUCACGUGGGGAAACUUAAAUGGGCAAAUGCCGGUAUCGGAAUCGGAUCGGAAGAGAAAAAGUGUCUUCCUGUUCAGGAACAGAUUCUGUUGGCAAGGGUAACCGACUUAGAGCAUCUGCAUUUGCAUGAUCUUUGCCAGGUUUGUAGAUUAUGUUGUAUUCAUAUGCUCUUAAUGUCACAGCCCAUCGCUGGAUCCUAGGAGAUGACAUCUGAGGAACAGACUUUAACUCGUUAAACAAAGACAACAAGGGUUUAUGAUCUGUAACGAUGGUAAACUUCCGACCAUACAGAUACUUAUGAAAGCGUUGUAAGCCGAACAUAAAGCUUCAUUGUCCAACUGUGAAUAAUUCCGCUCAGCUUGAUUCAAUGUCCGUGACAUAAAUCCAAUGGGUCUUUCCCUACCAUCUGGCAUGUUAUUAAAGAACAUGUAUUAGUGAAUAAAGUGUGUAAUAGA